rnacentral:rRNA from 1 species
CUACGGGGGGCUGCAGUGAGGAAUUUUGCGCAAUGGGGGCAACCCUGACGCAGCAACGCCGCGUGAGUGAAGAAGGCCUUUGGGUCGUAAAGCUCUGUCAACUGGGAAGAAGUUACGAAUGUUUAAUAGAUGUUUGUAUUGACGGUACCAGUGAAGGAAGCGCCGGCUAACUCCGUGCCAGCAGCCGCGGUAACACGGGGGGCGCAAGCGUUAUUCGGAAUUAUUGGGCGUAAAGGGCGCGUAGGCGGCCUGGUAAGUCAGAUGUGAAAGCCCGGGGCUUAACCCCGGAAGUGCAUUUGAUACUGUCAGGCUUGAGUAUGGGAGAGGGAAGUGGAAUUCCUGGUGUAGAGGUGAAAUUCGUAGAUAUCAGGAGGAACACCGGUGGCGAAGGCGACUUCCUGGACCAAUACUGACGCUAAGGCGCGAAGGCGUGGGGAGCAAACAGGAUUAGAUACCCGGGUAGUC